UGUGGGAGCGAGCCUGCUCGCGAAAGCGGUGGCUCGGCUUGCAUCAGUAUUGGAUCUGGUGCCGCCAUCGCGAGCAGGCUCGCUCCCACA
rnacentral:misc_RNA from 2 species